rnacentral:rRNA from 1 species
UGGGGAAUUUUACGCAAUGGGGGGAAACCCCUGACGUAGCGACACCGCGUGAGCGAAGAAGCCCUUUUGGGGGUGUAAAGCUCUGUCAACAGGAACGAAACAAAUGACGGUACCUGUGGAGGAAGCAUCGGCUAACUACGUGCCAGCAGCCGCGGUAAGACGUAGGAUGCAAGCGUUGUCCGGAUUUAUUGGGCGUAAAGAGUUCGUAGGCGGUUUGUUAAGUCUGAUGUUAAAGACCGGGGCUCAACCUCGGAAAUGCAUUGGAUACUGGCAGACUGGAGUGCAGUAGAGGCUAGUGGAAUUCCCAGUGUAGCGGUGAAAUGCGUAGAUAUUGGGGAAGAACACCGGUGGCGUAGGCGACUAGCUGGGCUGUAACUGGCGCUGAGGAACGAAAGCCAGGGGAGCAAAUGGGAUUAGAUACCCCAGUAGUCCUGGCCGUAAACGAUGGAUACUAGGCGUAGUGGGUAUCGACCCCUGCUGUGCCGCAGCUAACGCGAUAAGUAUCCCGCCUGAGUAGUACGGCCGCAAGGUUGAAACUCAAAUGAAUUGACGGGGUCAUAGCUGUUUCCU